UUGACCUCGGAUCAGGUAGGAUUACCCGCUGAACUUAAGCAUAUCAAUAAGCGGAGGAAAAGAAACCAACAGGGAUUGCCCCAGUAACGGCGAGUGAAGCGGCAACAGCUCAAAUUUGAAAUCUGGCCUUCGGGUCCGAGUUGUAAUUUGGAGAGGAUGCUUUUGGCGCGGCGCCGUCCGAGUUCCUUGGAACAGGACGCCAUAGAGGGUGAGAGCCCCGUACGGGCGGCCGCCUAGCCUUUGUAAAGCUCCUUCGACGAGUCGAGUAGUUUGGGAAUGCUGCUCAAAAUGGGAGGUAAAUUUCUUCUAAAGCUAAAUACCGGCCAGAGACCGAUAGCGCACAAGUAGAGUGAUCGAAAGAUGAAAAGCACUUUGAAAAGAGGGUUAAACAGUACGUGAAAUUGUUGAAAGGGAAGCGCCUGUGACCAGACUUGCGACCCGUGGAUCAUCCGGUGUUCUUCACCGGUGCACUCCGCGGGCUGCAGGCCAGCAUCGGUUUUUCUAGGGGGAUAAAGGUCGCAGGAACGUAGCUCUUUCGGGAGUGUUAUAGCCUGUGGCGUCAUGCCUCUGGGGAGACCGAGGACCGCG
rnacentral:rRNA from 1 species